rnacentral:rRNA from 1 species
AUUGAACGCUGGCGGUAGGCCUAACACAUGCAAGUCGAACGGCAGCACAGUAAGAGCUUGCUCUUACGGGUGGCGAGUGGCGGACGGGUGAGGAAUACAUCGGAAUCUACUUUUUCGUGGGGGCGAACGUAGGGAAACUUACGCUAAUACCGCAUACGACCUACGGGUGAAAGCAGGGGAUCUUCGGACCUUGCGCGAUUGAAUGAGCCGAUGUCGGAUUAGCUAGUUGGCGGGGUAAAGGCCCACCAAGGCGACGAUCCGUAGCUGGUCUGAGAGGAUGAUCAGCCACACUGGAACUGAGACACGGUCCAGACUCCUACGGGAGGCAGCAGUGGGGAAUAUUGGACAAUGGGCGCAAGCCUGAUCCAGCCAUACCGCGUGGGUGAAGAAGGCCUUCGGGUUGUAAAGCACUUUUGUUGGGAAAGAAAAGCAGCAGGUUAAUACCCCGCUGUUCUGACGGUACCAAAAGAAUAAGCACCGGCUAACUUCGUG